CCUACGGGGGGCAGCAGUGAGGAAUAUUGGUCAAUGGGCGGAAGCCUGAACCAGCCAAGUAGCGUGCAGGAUGACGGCCCUACGGGUUGUAAACUGCUUUUAUACGGGAAUAACGCGCCUUACGUGUAGGGCUUUGCAUGUACCGUAUGAAUAAGGACCGGCUAAUUCCGGGCCAGCAGCCGCGGUAAUACGGAAGGUCCGGGCGUUAUCCGGAUUUAUUGGGUUAAAAGGGAGCGUAGGCCGCAUGUCAAGCGUGCUGUGAAAUGGCCGGGUUCAACCCGGGCCUUGCAGCGCGAACUGGCGUGCUUGAGUCCGCGGAAGGCAGGCGGAAUUCGUCGUGUAGCGGUGAAAUGCUUAGAUAUGACGAAGAACCCCGGUUGCGAAGGCAGUUUGCUGCAGCGGAACUGACGCUGAUGCUCGAAAGCGCGGGUAUCGAACAGGAUUAGAUACCCUGGUAGUC
rnacentral:rRNA from 1 species